rnacentral:SRP_RNA from 1 species
ACUGGGUGUGGUGGUGUGUGCCUGUUGUCCUAGCUACUUGGGAGGCUGAGACAGGAGGAUCUUCUGAGCCCAGGAGGUCUGGGCUGUAAAGCAGUAUGUCAAUUGGGUGUCCACACUAAGUUCAGCAUCAGUAUGAUGACCUCUUCGAAGCAAGGACCACCAUGUUGCCUAAGGAGGGGUGAACUGGCCCAGGUUGGAAACAGAGUAGGUCAAAACUCCCAUGCUGAGCAGUAGUGGGAUAGAGCCUAACUCCCAUGCUGAUCAGUAGUGGGAUAGAGCCUGUGAAUAGCCGCUACACUCUGGCCUGGGCAAUGAAAAAAAUAUGUAUGUU